AGGUCUAACCUGGAUGGCUGUGAGUUGGCUUAAUCUCAGCUGGCAACUGUGAGAUGUUCAUACAGCCCUCCACAGUGGUCUCUGGGAUUAUGCUAAACAGAGCAAUCUCCUUGCCCUCAUGGAUCAAAAGACUUGCAUGGCAACCAAAAU
rnacentral:miRNA from 1 species